rnacentral:rRNA from 1 species
ACGCUGGCGGCGUGCCUAAUACAUGCAAGUCGAACGCUUCUUUUUCCACCGGAGCUCGCUCCACCGGAAAAAGAGGAGUGGCGAACGGGUGAGUAACACGUGGGUAACCUGCCGAUCAGAAGGGGAUAACACUUGGAAACAGGUGCUAAUACCGUAUAACAAUCGAAACCGCAUGGUUUUGAUUUGAAAGGCGCUUUCGGGUGUCGCUGAUGGAUGGACCCGCGGUGCAUUAGCUAGUUGGUGAGGUAACGGCUCACCAAGGCCACGAUGCAUAGCCGACCUGAGAGGGUGAUCGGCCACAUUGGGACUGAGACACGGCCCAAACUCCUACGGGAGGCAGCAGUAGGGAAUCUUCGGCAAUGGACGAAAGUCUGACCGAGCAACGCCGCGUGAGUGAAGAAGGUUUUCGGAUCGUAAAACUCUGUUGUUAGAGAAGAACAAGGAUGAGAGUAACUGUUCAUUCCUUGACGGUAUCUAAC